GAUGAACGCUAGCGGCAGGCUUAACACAUGCAAGUCGAGGGGUAGAGGCUUUCGGGCCUUGAGACCGGCGCACGGGUGCGUAACGCGUAUGCAAUCUGCCUUUCACAGAGGGAUAGCCCAGAGAAAUUUGGAUUAAUACCUCAUAGCAUAACACAACCGCAUGGUUGAGUUAUUAAAGUCACAACGGUGAAAGAUGAGCAUGCGUCCCAUUAGUUAGUUGGUAAGGUAACGGCUUACCAAGACUUCGAUGGGUAGGGGUCCUGAGAGGGAGAUCCGCCACACUGGUACUGAGACACGGACCAGGCUCCUACGGGAGGCAGCAGUGAGGAAUAUUGGUCAAUGGGCGCAAGCCUGAACCAGCCAUGCCGCAUGCAGGAUGACGGUCCUAUGGAUUGUAAACUGCUUUUGUACGAGAAGAAACACUCCUUCGUGAAGGAGCUUGACGGUAUCGUAAGAAUAAGGAUCGGCUAACUCCGUGCCAGCAGCCGCGGUAA
rnacentral:rRNA from 1 species